rnacentral:rRNA from 1 species
GCAACUCGACACAUGAAGCUGGAAUCGCUAGUAAUCGCAGAUCAGAAUGCUGCGGUGAAUACGUUCCCGGGUCUUGUACACACCGCCCGUCACACCAUGGGAGUCGGAUAUGCCCGAAGCCAGUGACCCAACCGUAAGGAGGGAGCUGUCGAAGGUAGAGCCGAUAACUGGGGUGAAGUCGUAACAAGGUAUC